AUUGAACGCUGGCGGCAGGCCUAACACAUGCAAGUCGAACGGUAACAGGAAGCAGCUUGCUGCUUCGCUGACGAGUGGCGGACGGGUGAGUAAUGUCUGGGAAACUGCCUGAUGGAGGGGGAUAACUACUGGAAACGGUAGCUAAUACCGCAUAACGUCGCAAGACCAAAGAGGGGGACCUUCGGGCAGCUUGCCAUCGGAUGUGCACAGAUGGGAUUAGCUAGUAGGGGGGGUAACGGCUCACCUAGGCGACGAUCCCUAGCUGGUCUGAGAGGAUAACCAGCCACACUGGAACUGAGACACGGUCCAGACUCCUACGGGAGGCAGCAGUGGGGAAUAUUGCACAAUGGGCGCAAGCCUGAUGCAGCCAUGCCGCGUGUAUGAAGAAGGCCUUCGGGUUGUAAAGUACUUUCAGCGGGGAGGAAGGCGAUAAGGUUAAUAACCUUGUCGAUUGACGUUACCCGCAGAAGAAGCACCGGCUAACUCCGUGCCAGCAGCCGCCGCGG
rnacentral:rRNA from 1 species